rnacentral:rRNA from 1 species
GACGAACGCUGGCGGCGUGCUUAACACAUGCAAGUCGAACGAUGAAGCCUAGCUUGCUAGGUGGAUUAGUGGCGAACGGGUGAGUAAUACGUGAGUAACCUACCUUUAACUCUGGGAUAAGCCCGGGAAACUGGGUCUAAUACCGGAUACGACCAAUCUCCGCAUGGGGUGUUGGUGGAAAGCGUUAUGUAGUGGUUAUAGAUGGGCUCACGGCCUAUCAGCUUGUUGGUGAGGUAACGGCUCACCAAGGCGACGACGGGUAGCCGGCCUGAGAGGGUGACCGGCCACACUGGGACUGAGACACGGCCCAGACUCCUACGGGAGGCAGCAGUGGGGAAUAUUGCACAAUGGGCGCAAGCCUGAUGCAGCGACGCCGCGUGAGGGAUGACGGCCUUCGGGUUGUAAACCUCUGUUAGCAGGGAAGAAGAGAGAUUGACGGUACCUGCAGAGAAAGCGCCGGCUAACUACGUGCCAGCAGCCGCGGUAAUACGUAGGGCGCGAGCGUUGUCCGGAAUUAUUGGGCGUAAAGAGCUUGUAGGCGGUUUGUCGCGUCUGCUGUGAAAGGCCGGAGCCUAACUCCGUGUAUUGCAGUGGGUACGGGCAGACUAGAGUGCAGUAGGGGAGACUGGAAUUCCUGGUGUAGCGGUGGAAUGCGCAGAUAUCAGGAGGAACACCGAUGGCGAAGGCAGGUCUCUGGGCUGUAACUGACGCUGAGAAGCGAAAGCAUGGGGAGCGAACAGG